rnacentral:rRNA from 1 species
UACAGAGGUGGCAAGCGUUGUUCGGAAUUACUGGGCGUAAAGGGCGCGUAGGCGGCCUCCUAAGUCGGACGUGAAAUCCCCAGGCUUAACCUGGGAACUGCGUCCGAUACUGGGAGGCUUGAGUUCGGGAGAGGGAUGUGGAAUUCCAGGUGUAGCGGUGAAAUGCGUAGAUAUCUGGAGGAACACCGGUGGCGAAGGCGGCAUCCUGGACCGAAACUGACGCUGAGGCGCGAAAGCCAGGGGAGCAAACGGG